rnacentral:lncRNA from 1 species
GUGGUUAAGGUGGGGGUUUGAGCUCCUUUUUUUUGGGGUGGUGUAGCUGGGUUUAUGGGUGCUGUUAAUUCUAUUUAUUUAUUUUUUUGCAGCAGCAGCUUUAGGCUGCGUUUUUGGCAGGAAGAUGAGGAGUGAGCUGGGGGUUUUUCUUUGUUCUUCCCUUUUUUUUUCGUUUUUCUUUUUGUGUCUCUUGGGUGGUGUUGGAGUGUUUGGAUUAAUUGGCAGCCAAGCAAAUGAGUGUGUGUAUUUAUCUUUAGGUAGGGAGAAGGGGCCUAGGGUUAAGGGAUUGGACUUGGAUUUAGGAAAUUGGGUUGGGUCCAUGUCUUGUUGGGUUUUAAUUUUGGGCUAAGAAGACUAAAAUAAUAUAAUGUAUUUAUAUAAAUCACUCUUAAUAAACUACUAAAGUAAAAUUAAAUAUUAAAAGUAAAACUAUAUUUUUAUAUUUUUAAAUGUUAUAAUAAAGUAAAAAUAAAGAAAAUAGGCUAAAGUCAUGGUAAAAUUAUAAUACUAUAAACAUAAAUAUACUAACUGGCCUUAAACUAAAAAUAAAAAUAUUUUUGAGUUUUUAAAUUAUAAUUUGAAGUAAAAAUUGAUUUAAACUCUAUAAAAAUUAAAGUUAAGUUAAAUAAA